GAUGAAGAACGUAGUAAAAUGCGAUACUUGGUGUGAAUUGCAGAAUCCCGUGAACCAUCGAGUUUUUGAACGCAAGUUGCGCCCGAAGCCUUUUGGCCGAGGGCACGUCUGCCUGGGCGUCACACAUCGCGUCGCCCCCCACAAUUCUCCGUAAAAGGAACAUGUGUUUUGGGGGCGGAUAUUGGUCUCCCGUGCUCAUGGCGUGGUUGGCCGAAAUAGGAGUCCUUUCGAUGGACGCACGAACUAGUGGUGGUCGUAAAAACCCUCGUCUUUUGUUUCGUGCUGUUGCUCGCAAGGUAAACUCUUUAAAAACCCCAAUGUGUCGUCUCUUGACGACGCUUCGACCGCGACCCCAGGUCAGGCGGGACUACCCGCUGAGUUUAAGCAUAUCAAUAAGCGGAGGA
rnacentral:misc_RNA from 1 species